AAGCAAAUGAUGCGAAACAUUUAGACCACCGAGGCCCUUUUCGGCCUUUGAUGUAUCUAAAAUCGAGCUUUUUAAACCUGAUGCUCA
rnacentral:snoRNA from 1 species